rnacentral:rRNA from 1 species
GACGAACGCUGGCGGCGUGCUUAACACAUGCAAGUCGAACGAUGAACCCGGAGCUUGCUCCGGCGGAUUAGUGGCGAACGGGUGAGUAACACGUGAGUAACCCGCCCUUGACUCUGGGAUAACUGCGGGAAACUGUAGCUAAUACCGGAUACGACCCUCGGCGGCAUCGCCAGGGGGUGGAAAGAAUUUCGGUCAAGGAUGGACUCGCGGCCUAUAAGCUAGUUGGUGAGGUAACGGCUCACCAAGGCGACGACGGGUAGCCGGCCUGAGAGGGUGACCGGCCACACUGGGACUGAGACACGGCCCAGACUCCUACGGGAGGCAGCAGUGGGGAAUAUUGCACAAUGGGCGCAAGCCUGAUGCAGCAACGCCGCGUGAGGGAUGACGGCCUUCGGGUUGUAAACCUCUUUUAGUAGGGAAGAAGCGAAAGUGACGGUACCUGCAGAAAAAGCACCGGCUAACUACGUGCCAGCAGCCGCCGUAA